UACGAAGGGGGCGAGCGUUGUUCGGAAUUACUGGGCGUAAAGGGCGCGUAGGCGGUCCUUCAAGUCAGGCGUGAAAGCCCCGGGCUCAACCUGGGAACCGCGCUUGAGACUGGCGGACUCGAGUUCGGGAGAGGAUGGUGGAAUUCCCAGUGUAGAGGUGAAAUUCGUAGAUAUUGGGAAGAACACCGAUGGCGAAGGCAGCCAUCUGGACCGACACUGACGCUGAGGCGCGAAAGCGUGGGGAGCGAACCGG
rnacentral:rRNA from 1 species